AUGUCAACGUUUUCACGAGACUAUGCACGCAUUGAGGGUGAAAAAGUUGAGAUAGAAAGAAAAAAGGUUGAUGCAAAGAUUAAGAACGCUGGGAGUGCGGAGGAAAGAUUGAAGAUGAAUGAUCUGCAAAUACUCUCCAAAGAUACAUCAAAUAUGGAUACACGACAACUACAAGCUCAUGAAAUAUUGUGCGACAUGAUUAGAGAAAAAUAUGGAAUUAAUUAG